ACUGUGUAGUGUUAGUGUCUUUAUUAUCCUGUCUUCUUUUUAUAGGAUCAAUGGACUCCUCUCAUGCUAGCAGCUUAUAAUGAAAGAACACAGGUAGUGACAAUGCUCCUUGAAAAAGGAGCAGAUGUCACUGCCUCUGAUGAUACUGGUAGGACUACUCUUGAUUAUGUUUCUGGUGACACUGCCACCCUACUGAGAGUACACUCAGGUAAUGUAUUUAUUAGUUUAUUGAACUGAUGUUAUUAUACUGUAUGUAGUACUGUAUUGUUCAUGCUUUUAAGUUUGUCCGUUAUAUAGAG